rnacentral:rRNA from 1 species
CCUACGGGAGGCAGCAGUAGGGAAUCUUCCACAAUGGACGAAAGUCUGAUGGAGCAACGCCGCGUGAGUGAUGAAGGUUUUCGGAUCGUAAAACUCUGUUGUAAGGGAAGAACAGGUAUGAGAGGUAAUGCUCAUGCUAUGACGGUACCUUGCGAGAAAGCCACGGCUAACUACGUGCCAGCAGCCGCGGUAAUACGUAGGUGGCAAGCGUUGUCCGGAAUUAUUGGGCGUAAAGCGCGCGCAGGCGGCCUUUUAAGUCUGAUGUGAAAGCCCCCGGCUCAACCGGGGAGGGUCAUUGGAAACUGGAAGGCUUGAGUACAGAAGAGAAGAGUGGAAUUCCAUGUGUAGCGGUGAAAUGCGUAGAGAUGUGGAGGAACACCAGUGGCGAAGGCGACUCUUUGGUCUGUAACUGACGCUGAGGCGCGAAAGCGUGGGGAGCAAACAGGAUUAGAUACCCUGGUAGUCCACGCCGUAAACGAUGAGUGCUAGGUGUUGGGGGGUUUCCGCCCCUCAGUGCUGAAGCUAACGCAUUAAGCACUCCGCCUGGGGAGUACGGCCGCAAGGCUGAAACUCAAAGGAAUNGACGG